UACGUAGGAGACGAGCGUUGUCCGGAAUUACUGGGCGUAAAGCGCGUGUAGGCGGAUGGGCAAGUCUGCUGUGAAAGCUCCUGGCUUAACCGGGAGUGGUCGGUGGAAACUGCCAAUCUGGAGGACGGGUAGAGGUAGGUAGAAUUCCCGGUGUAGUGGUGAAAUGCGUAGAUAUCAGGAGGAACACCGGUGGCGAAGGCGGGUCUCUGGGCCGAUACUGACGUGAGGAGCGAAAGCGUGGGGGAGCGAACAGG
rnacentral:rRNA from 1 species